rnacentral:lncRNA from 1 species
ACAAAUUGUCUGCAGUGAUAUCCUUCCUAGAUUUGGCUUGCUCAUCACACUGGUAGACUUUAGAAUGUCACUUUCUACAAUUAAUUAAGGUUAUACUACAAAUGAGAGAGAAUUAAUGUUCAGUUUUGUCAUACUGAAAUAGCCAAUGUGUACAUGGGUGUGGUCUUUGGUGGUUUAUAUUCUUGAUUUGCUGUUUCGUCUUCCCUUUGUAACAUUGUGCAGUUAAUUUUCAACCCAUGAGUGAGAGCAACUGGAUAUUUGAAUUCCACUGAAAUAACAAAUUGUCUGCAGAUUUGAUUUGCUCAGCACACUGGCAGACUUUAGAACGCCACCUUCUACAAUUAAUUAAGAUUGUCCCACAAAUGACGAGGGAUUGUAGUUAAUUUUGAUGCUACUGAAGCAACCGAUGCUUUUGAUGUCUUCACCUUGCAACAUUAUGCAGUUAACUUUAGCCAUAACAACGGGAGGCAGUUGGAAAUUAAUUAAUUUGGAAGCGACUGGAACAACAAAUUGUUUGCAAUGAUCCCUCCUAGAUUUGGCUUGUUCAUCACACUGGUAGACUUUAGAACGCCACUUUCUACAAUUAAUUAAAGUUAUACAACAAAUGAGAGAGAAUUAAUGUUCAGUUUUGUCAUACUGAAAUAGCCAAUGUGUACGUGGGUGUGGUCUUUCGUGGUUUAUAUUCUUGAUUUGCUGUUUCGUCUUCACCUUGUAACAUCAUGCAGUUAAUUUUCAACCCAUGAGUGAGAGCAACUGGAUAUUUAUUUGAAUUCCACUGAAAUAACAAUUUCUCUGCUACGGUGUUCCUCCUGGAGUUAGUUUGCUUUUCACACCUGUAAACUAACUUUGGAACGUUACGUUCUACAUUUAAUUAAGAUCGACGUUGGAGAAGACAAAGAUGACCCCGUAG